CAUCCGUCUCAUGAAGAUUUUAUUUUUCAAUUCUUUUUAAUCUUCGUCUUAUUUAAGAAUUUUGUUUGAUUAGUAUUUUUAUUGUUAUUAGAUAAUAAUACAUGAAUAGUAUUUUAUGCGUAACUUACCUUUUUAAUUAUUUUUUAUAUUUUUUUCAAAUAAGACGGACAAUCAAACAUUACACACAGAAUCCUAAAAAUGGAGUCUUC
rnacentral:pre_miRNA from 1 species